rnacentral:rRNA from 1 species
AUUGAACGCUAGCGGGAGGCUUAACACAUGCAAGUCGAACGAGUGGCGGACGGGUGAGUAAUAUAUGGGAACGUGCCCAGUAGCGGGGGAUAACUACUCGAAAGGGUGGCUAAUACCGCAUACUCUUGGAGCGGCCGAUAUCGGAUUAACUAGUUGGUGGGGUAAAGGCUCCCCAAGGCGACGAUCCCUAGCUGGUUUGAGAGGAUGUACAGCCACACUGGGACUGAGACACGGCCCAGACUCCUACGGGAGGCAGCAGUGGGGAAUUUUGGACAAUUGGCGAAACCCUGAUCCAGCCAUCCCGCGUGUAUGAGAAGGCCUUCGGGUUGUAAAGUACUUUUAGCAGGGAAGCGGUACCUGCAGAAUAAGCACCGGCUAACUACGUGCCAGCAGCCGCGGUAAUUC